rnacentral:rRNA from 1 species
UACGUAGGGGGCGAGCGUUGUCCGGAUUUAUUGGGCGUAAAGAGCUCGUAGGCGGUUCGGUAAGUCGAAUGUGAAAUCUCCACGCUCAACUGGAGGGGUCAUUCGAAACUGCCGUGAACUUGAGUACGGUAGGGGAGUGUGGAAUUCCCGGUGUAGCGGUGAAAUGCGCAGAUAUCAGGAAGAACACCAAUGGCGAAGGCAGCUCUCUGGGACGGUACUGACGCUGAGACGCGAAAGCGUGGGGAGCGAACAGG